GAAAGACCAGGUUCCCCACUGCGGGUCCCGCCCCUCAGAUGCUACAGACACAGAGUCGGCUUGCUCCCCGUAGAAUAUGGUUCUGGAGACCCACAGCAUUGCAAAGGCAGAGAAACCGGCGAUCAUUGCCACUGCUGGGCCUUAGACCAUGCCUCUGACUCAAAGGAAGUGCCCUUGGGGGUGAAGAGCCCCAGGGAAUCUGAUGGAAGGCACUGGAAGUUGGCAAACCUUUUCUGUGAAGGACCAGAUGGUAAAUAUUCUGGGCUUCACGGGCCGGAGGUCUCCAUCGCAGCUCCUUGGGUCUGCUGCUGCAGCCGGAAAGCCGUCGACAAAACGUACAUGGUGAGUGUGGCUGUGCCCCCAGAACAUUUUAUUCACAAAAACAGGUGGCGGGUGGGAUUAGUAGGAAGCAAAAACACUGGAGUUUUGAGAGGAAAAUACUGGAGAGAUAGCUCGGAAACCAUCGGCCAGGCAUGCAGAACUCCCCUCACAGAGGGAGUGAAGACACUCUCAGAUAUCCCAGCAACUGGACUGUUUGAGUCCUC
rnacentral:lncRNA from 1 species